rnacentral:lncRNA from 1 species
AAAAUAAAUAGAGAAAUUCUUUGUUCAGGGCAAAAUUACCCUGAAAUAUGACAAACUUUUUUUUUUCAGAGUUAUAUAUCUAAGAAAAGGCUUUUUAAAUUUGGUUAAUUUUUUAACAAAUUAAGUUCUUUUUUAUUGUUGUACCAAAGCAAAGACUCAUUUCAAAAUGAGAAAUGAGGGUUUUUAUAAAAUGCCAAAAAUCUGCAAACAUUGAUUUUUUGUGUCUAAUAUUAUUAGCUUUCUUGUAUUUAUAGAAAUAACUUUCAGAAGUAAUAUUUAAUUUUGAGUCGUAACAUUUUCAUCUACAGGAUUAUGUUUUGGGAGAUAGCAUAACUUGCCUUCUUUUUUGUGUAAAGAAAAUAUGUUUUUAUCUUUGUCCAGAUUACCUGCACCUGUCUGGCAGGAGUUGGAGUCCUAAAGGGGAUGCAGCUGCUGUGGGAGGUACCAGUCAAGACAGAGAGCUGCACUCAAUGAGCACUUUGGAAAUUAAAGAAUUGCCAGCUUUUCCACUUUGGAACAAAAAACAUUUGUGCUAAACAGCCGGUAAGUAAAUGCAGUAAACAUAUUUUUACAGUGAAUAGACUUGUUUUAUAUUUUGGGGACUGAUUGUGAAUUUCUACUGCUUCUUGAUUAGCAAACAUUUGGCAGUUCCUGAGUCUUUAGACAUUAAAAUGCCAAAACAGAUUUUUAUUCUCAGGCUGAGCUCCUAUAUAUUUUUUCCCCCAUCCUUCUAACAAUUACCCUCAAAACAUUUGAAAGCACUAAAAUGUGCUCUGAAAACACAUUUGGAAAUGUUUUACCUGUGUGACUUUAAUAAGCAUGUAAAUAAAAAAGUACUGGGUGGCUGUCGAAUUUCA